CGCACGGGUGAGUAACACGUAUCCAACCUGCCGUCUACUCUUGGACAGCCUUCUGAAAGGAAGAUUAAUACAAGAUGGCAUCAUGAGUCCGCAUGUUCACAUGAUUAAAGGUAUUCCGGUAGACGAUGGGGAUGCGUUCCAUAGAUAGUAGGCGGGGUAACGGCCCACCUAGUCUUCGAUGGAUAGGGGUUCUGAGAGGAAGGUCCCCCACAUUGGAACUGAGACACGGUCCAA
rnacentral:rRNA from 1 species